rnacentral:lncRNA from 1 species
ACAUCGUUGGUUUUCAACACGGCUUUGGCCAUUUCAACUGAUGAAGCAACGACGACGGGGAAUGACCCGAAUUUGAGUUGCAUGAUGGGACCGUAUUUUCGGGAGAGAGCAUGGAUGGACUGGUGGGGAAGUGAGCCAAUGAGAUUGAGGUUGCCGAUUAUCGGCCAGGGUUUUGGACCGGGUGGUAAGUUGAGUUUCCGGCGACGACAGAGGCGAAGGGAGAAGAGGAUGAGAGCUAGAGUGGCAAGCCAUGGCGUCAAGUAAGAAAACCAAGAGGGAGUUGCCAUUCGUUUUAGUUAGUUGUUAACUAGUCAUGGCGAUUGCAGGUGUUGAUGAUGAAAGGGGCAUCAAAGGAUCGAGUUUAUCAAUGUGUGUCUCACUUGAUUUUCCUUGUCACUAAUCAAAUGAUUUAAGGGAAUCAAAGACCAGGUAACUCAUUGAUUCUUUCAUUUUACCAGCUCAAUAAUUGGUGGAAAGAUUUAAUUAAAAAAAUAUUAAGCAGUCCCUAGAAGCCCACUUGGUCAUUAAAGUCACAUUACUUUGACACCCCUCCCCAGGAGUCGUCCAAACUCCAUUGUCUUUUGUUCAAUUAUAAAUUUCCAAAUUAGGGCAGUCUAUUAUUUUUCAAAAUAUGUUUUAUUUUAUUUUAUGAAUGGGUUUUCUGAGUCAUGUAGAAACCUUAACAUGAAGCACACCUCAACACUUUUCUUUAAUCUUAUAGACUGAAAUCACUUUUCUUUUAUCCAAAUUUUAACUGAAUUUUUACAUUUAUUUAAAAAUCUUAACAUAACCCUAAUUUUGUACGAUAUUUUUAAAAAUUAGAGAAAAUCAUGAAUAAUUUAACCGUCUACUGAAAAACCUUAAUCCUGUACGAAGCUUUUUAAAAAUUAGAAAAAUAUUAUGAAAGAAAAGGUUGGUAAAUAAUAUUUUCAUUGAACUAGUAUUUAGAGGGUUUUUUUUUUCUGGAAAAGAAACGAAACAUCCAAUCAAUUAAAUUUUGUAAUUAAGUAACAAACUAAAUGAACAUUUUUUGGUAAAUUAAAAUUAAGAAACCGAAGAUGGAGUUCCCACUUGUUUUGCUUCCAGCACUGAUGAUUGCAGAUGAUGAAAUAUAGCCUGUGAAUGAUAUUUCAAGUAUGGAAAUGUGUCCCUCCACUUGAAUAUUUAUUUUCAUUAAGUCGUGUUUCUCAAUUCGUUUUAUUUUAAAUCGAAAGUGGUUUCUUUAAUUGAUUUUUUUUAGAAUUUAUCAAAUCACCCCAAAAUAUAUGGAAAAAUUAGCAUUUGUUAAUAUGAAGUCUAGCUAGCUACUCACUAAGUAUUAUAAUAGAACAAAUCAUCAUCAAGGAUUAAUUACGCUAUCUAACACCUAGAAUGACUAAAUUGCAAAACUGUCAAAAGUGCAAAAAUAACAUUUCAAUGGGAAAAAGUGGUCGAUUGACUUCCAUGUUGCGAGUUAAUUCUUGGACUAGGGAUCUAAAAGGUUCAAACUCCUAAUUGGUUCAAUUUUACCUCUCAGGCAUAAUUUUACCCAAUUAGACGAUUUAGUCUAGUUUAUUUCUCGAUCUCACUAAACUAAAUCGGAACAAUCAAAUUGAUUCUCAAUAGGCUCUCCUCUUGGUCUCACUUAUCUAAAUGUUCACCUAGAGGCGUCAAAUCUAGAUUUUUAAAUUUAUUCGAUUUAGUCUAGUUUUACAAUUUAGUCCCUACCUGAAAAACUAGCAAUGCAACAUUUCUAUUAACUAAGCACCAUGAGAUUUAGUUAUUACCCAUCAUCAACACACAAAUAUCAGUCAAAUACAUGCUCAAAUGAUCAAUUAAAUAAAACAUAAAAAAAGCAAGGUUAGGAAAAUCUUAAGAGACUCUUGAUGAGUUCUUUGGAGAAGAUGACAACACCAACAAUGAAGAAGAAAACACAACUAAAGUUUAAAUUUUUACAAUUUUGAGAGUUAAAAAAGCGGAAAUAUAGUAAAGGAUGUAAAGAGAAAUCAAAAUACAAAGUAAAGUUUUUGUUCUAAGUGCAAAGAAAGGAAAAACUACAGUAAAAACUAAGAAAACUAUCAGCUACAACCACUCAUUAGCUGAGAAAAGUAAAGAACUAAAACCUAAAAAUGGAGAAGAGUAUAACUACUAAGCUUAAAAGAUGAUAAAAAGGUCUCUCCUCUUGGUUUGACACAAAAGCAUAUUUUGUACAACCAAAAUUCAACCCUAAACUUGACAAAAAUGCCCUUGGAGUGUAUGGGUUGACUUGUGUUUGUGUUGGAUAUAAAACUACAUUUGUAGUAUUUUUCACCCCGUCAAGCAACAGUGUCGCGACACCUUCGACAAUGACACACUCUUGGCUUUAGGGUUCUCUAUGUCACGACAUCCUUGGGAGUGACCAUGACUUUUUACUUCAACAAUCAACAGUAGUAUUGCGACCUUGGAGGCUUGGUGUCACAACUUUGGGUUUAGUGUCAAGACACCUCGACAAUUUGCUUCAAGUUGGUUUCUUGUUGAAGUCUUGCACCCCUGAGGUAGUGGAGGCUUAGUGUCGCGACAUCCUAGCAUUAAUGUCGUGACACCGGCGUCAGAUGUAGUUCUCCUCAAGGUUUGAUUGUUGUUGUCUUCCUACACAAACUCAAUUGCACUAUUAGACACCCAAUGAGACAAUUUUGCCAAAUUGGGUUUCAAAAGGACUAAAAAAACUAAAGGAAAACAAUCAUAAAUACUAAAAAUUGAAAAUCAAAGAAAAUCAUAGAAAAAACUCGUAAAUUGCUUAAGAACAAACUCAUUAAGUGUUCUAGAGAGUCUAAUUUGAUGUAUCAAAUUAUGACAGAUCAUAUACACGUGCCAUGUCAGCAAAGUUAACAAACGUUAACUUUUCCAUCCAUUUUAGGUGAUUUGACAAUUGCACAAGUUGAAGCAACACAUUCACUUUUCUAUCCAUUUUGAGUCAGUCGAUGAAGUUGACAUAGUUGGUUUUCAUCAUAGCCUUGACCAUUUCAGUGGAUGAAGCAAUGAUGAUGGGGAAUUACCUGAAUUUAAGUUGUGUGAUAGAGUCAUAUUUUCGGAAGAGGGCAUGGAUGGACUAGUGAAGAAGUGAGCCGAUGAGGUUGAGGUUGUUGAUUAUCAACCAGGGUUUUGGAUCGGGUGAUAAAUUAAGUUUCUGGAGAUGACAGAAGUGAAGGGAGAGGACGAUGAGAGUUAGAGCGGCAGGCCAUGGAGUCAAGUAAGAAACCAAAGAGGAAAUUUCCAUUUGUUUUAGUUAGUUGUUUAUAGUAAUAUAUAAAACAUGUAUUUAUAGACAAAAAUUGUGAUAUAAAUAUAUUAAGCUUAGCAAUGUGUCUCCCACUUGAAUUCUUUAGUUCAUGGAAUUAACCCAUUGUUUCUUCUUAUCGACCAGCUGAAAUUUAAUUAAUAUUUGUGGGUUAAAACUAAUAAUUAUGAGAGGAAAAAACCUCUUAACGUUUAAGAUUUUACGUUAACAAAUCCUUAAAUUAUGUCUUUAAACCAUAUUUUCCGCCAGAAAAAUUAUUUACAUCUAAAUUUAUUUAUAGGUAUGACAUCAUAUCAACUUAAUUAAUAUAGUCUGUUUAAAUUAAUAUUAUAAAUAGAACAAUUAAUACCGUCCAUCCAAUACCAAUUUUGCAAAAUAUGAGAUAAUCAUGAUUGCGUCAUGUGUAUGAGCUAAGCUUAGAGGAGAUGACGUUCACUACUGAGAAUGGGGAGCUUAUAUUUUGCAACCCAAAAGCAAAACAACAUCAAAGGCUACAAUAAUUAAGAGUACAUGUGAAGUGGGAGCCUAGGCUCUGCCACAACCACAAGUGGGUGCUUCUUAGAGGUGGAGAGCCCAAAUAGUUCCUCCAUAUUGAGAUCAUCUUUUGUAGUAUUAGCAGGCAAUUUCCAAGUAAAUCCAUGUAAAAUAUUAGCCAAACUUGCUUGAAUGACUUUAAUUGCCAGAGGAUUUCCAGGGCACUUCCUUCUUCCGGACCGAAUGGCAACAACUCAAAAUCAUGACCUUUUACGUCAAUACUCUUCCCAAUGAAUCUGUCUGGCCAAAAUUCAUUGGGCUUGUCCCAAAGAAUCGUCAAAAUAACCUAAAAUAAACAGUACCCACUCUUUUUUUGCACCAAUGAUUGCCUAAUCAUUGUGUCAGACUUAAAAAAAUAACGUGAGGCACCAACAUUGGUGCCACUGGGUGUAAACGCAUUGCCUCUUUUGCAAUUGACUUGAUGUAGGGUAGGUUCCCAAUGUCCUUCUCUUCAACCCAUUGUUCCCUGCCGAUUACCUUGUCUAGCUCUUCCAUGGCUUUGGCCAAUAUUUCUGGCUUUCUUAAUAGCUCUGUAAUUGCCCAUUCUACUGUCACUGCUGAACUAUCCGUUCCAGCAGCUAUGAUGUCCUGAAAUACGUAUAAAAAAGAGUAUCAUCAUUGCAAUUUUUAAAAAAUAUGUUUGAAUAAACAAUUAAAAAAGAAAACAAAAUAAAGUAAAAGAAUGAAAUGUCAAGGAAAGUAAACGAUACAUGUAUUUUUGUUCGAAUAGUUAAAUUUAGGGGUGAAUUGCAUAGUUGGACACUCGACUUCUAUAAGUUUUUAUUUUGGAUAUCGAAAAUAAAAAAUACAUUACAUUUUAGGCACUGUCGUUAACAACAAUUUUUAUUUUGGUCACCUGUGUUAAUUCAAUUUUCAUUUUUGUCACCCAACCUUAAUAAAUUAUCAUUUUGGUCACUUGUUUUUAUCUUUUUAACGUCCUUUAUUUUUUUCUUUUUUUAGAAUUACUUUUUACAAGGAAUUGUAUGAGUUUUUACUGGAAAAACCUUGAAUUUCAUCUUUAUAACCGAAGAACUCAAUUUUCUUAGAAUUUUCUAUAAAAACUAAGGGUUUUUUUUUCCUUCCAUAUAUGUAUAUAAAUUCUUCAGUUCCAAUCUUACGAUUAAUGAAGCUCCAGGUCUAUUCUGCUUUAUCAUGCCUGGUGUAGGCUUUUUUAUGUUUUAGAGUUUUUAACUCUCCAUUCUUUAAAAAUAUUAUGUUGGGAGAUGAUAUGGUAGGAGUAACCCAUGUACGUAAUUAGUACCCUAUCUGAUUUCAAUUUUUAGGUUAAAGGUGUAAAAUGCAAGGAAACUCAUGUCGACCAAGAUUAAACAAAUGGCCACUCAUUUGAAGCCAGCCAAGCCAAGAAAGUGAAACAAAACCAUCAAAAUACGUGAGCCAGAAAGAAACAAACAAUCAUUUACCUGACUAAAGGCCUUAACACCAUGCCUUUCAAGCUUGACCUCAAGAUUGGGAUCCUCCGAAAGCUGCAGAAGCACAUCCACCAUGUCCUUUGCAACAUAAUCUUUCACCCUUUUUCUCCUCGCGUUGUGUUCAUCCAACACAUGCUCCAAGAACCUAUCGAAUUUCUUGCUCAAGGCCUUCAUUCUCUUUAUAUAGCCUUGCAAAUCCAGGAAACUGAGCCAAGGGAUCGAGUCACCGAUGUCCAACACCCCAUUAAGAAAGAACAACUCAUUCAGCAUCUCGUUGAACUCGUUUGGGGUCACAAUCUCGCUUUCGCCGGUUCUCUCCGUGUAUUUUUUCCCAAACACCAUCCUACUGAUUACGUUAAGAUUCAAGCUCAAAAGAUGUUCUUUCAAAACAAUUUGGGUACCAGAUGAUUCGUACAACCUUUUCAGAAACAAGUUCCUCUCUUCUCUUCGGAUAUACUCGUACGACUCUAGGCGUUUUGCACUAAAAAGCUCUGUCAGGCACAUUUUUCGCGCUUGACGCCAGUAUGGACCGUAGGAUGACCACGUAAUAUCGGAGUAAUUAUAAGUAGUGUAUUUGCCAGCAGCAGUCUUGGGUCGGUCACUGAAGAUAGCAUCAUUAGUUUUCAAUAUGGCUUUGGCCAUUUCAACGGAUGAAGCAACAACGAUGGGGAAUGACCCGAAUUUGAGUUGCAUGAUGGGGCCAUAUUUUUGGGAGAGGGCAUGGAUGGACUGGUGAGGAAGUGAACCAAUGAGGUUGAGGUUGCCGAUUAUCGGCCAGGGUUUUGGACCAGGGGGUAGGUUGAGUUUCCGGCGACG